AGUGAACGCUGGCGGUAGGCCUAACACAUGCAAGUCGAACGGCAGCACAGUAAGAGCCUGCUCUUACGGGUGGCGAGUGGCGGACGGGUGAGGAAUACAUCGGAAUCUACUUUUUCGUGGGGGAUAACGUAGGGAAACUUACGCUAAUACCGCAUACGACCUACGGGUGAAAGCAGGGGAUCUUCGGACCUUGCGCGAUUGAAUGAGCCGAUGUCGGAUUAGCUAGUUGGCGGGGUAAAGGCCCGCCAAGGCGACGAUCCGUAGCUGGUCUGAGAGGAUGAUCAGCCACACUGGAACUGAGACACGGUCCAGACUCCUACGGGAGGCAGCAGUGGGGAAUAUUGGACAAUGGGCGCAAGCCUGAUCCAGCCAUACCGCGUGGGUGAAGAAGGCCUUCGGAUUGUAAAGCCCUUUUGUUGGGAAAGAAAAGCAGCAGGUUAAUACCCCGCUGUUCUGACGGUACCCAAAGAAUAAGCACCGGCUAACUUCGUG
rnacentral:rRNA from 1 species